rnacentral:rRNA from 1 species
CAGGCUUAACACAUGCAAGUCGAGGGGCAGCAUGGUCUUAGCUUGCUAAGGCCGAUGGCGACCGGCGCACGGGUGAGUAACACGUAUCCAACCUGCCGUCUACUCUUGGACAGCCUUCUGAAAGGAAGAUUAAUACAAGAUGGCAUCAUGAGUCCGCAUGUUCACAUGAUUAAAGGUAUUCCGGUAGACGAUGGGGAUGCGUUCCAUUAGAUAGUAGGCGGGGUAACGGCCCACCUAGUCUUCGAUGGAUAGGGGUUCUGAGAGGAAGGUCCCCCACAUUGGAACUGAGACACGGUCCAAACUCCUACGGGAGGCAGCAGUGAGGAACAUUGGUCAAUGGGCGAGAGCCUGAACCAGCCAAGUAGCGUGAAGGAUGACUGCCCUAUGGGUUGUAAACUUCUUUUAUAAAGGAAUAAAGUCGGGUAUGCAUACCCGUUUGCAUGUACUUUAUGAAUAAGGAUCGGCUAACUCCGUGCCAGCAGCCGCGGUAAUACGGAGGAUCCGAGCGUUAUCCGGAUUUAUUGGGUUUAAAGGGAGCGUAGAUGGAUGUUUAAGUCAGUUGUGAAAGUUUGCGGCUCAACCGUAAAAUUGCAGUUGAUACUGGAUAUCUUGAGUGCAGUUGAGGCAGGCGGAAUUCGUGGUGUAGCGGUGAAAUGCUUAGAUAUCACGAAGAACUCCGAUUGCGAAGGCAGCCUGCUAAGCUGCAACUGACAUUGAGGCUCGAAAGUGUGGGUAUCAAACAGGAUUAGAUACCCUGGUAGUCCACACGGUAAACGAUGAAUACUCGCUGUUUGCGAUAUACAGCAAGCGGCCAAGCGAAAGCGUUAAGUAUUCCACCUGGGGAGUACGCCGGCAACGGUGAAACUCAAAGGAAUUGACGGGGGGCCCGCACAAGCGGAGGAACAUGUGGUUUAAUUCGAUGAUACGCGAGGAACCUUACCCGGGCUUAAAUUGCAGAUGAAUUACGGUGAAAGCCGUAAGCCGCAAGGCAUCUGUGAAGGUGCUGCAUGGUUGUCGUCAGCUCGUGCCGUGAGGUGUCGGCUUAAGUGCCAUAACGAGCGCAACCCUUGUUGUCAGUUACUAACAGGUUCCGCUGAGGACUCUGACAAGACUGCCAUCGUAAGAUGUGAGGAAGGUGGGGAUGACGUCAAAUCAGCACGGCCCUUACGUCCGGGGCUACACACGUGUUACAAUGGGGGGUACAGAGGGCCGCUACCACGCGAGUGGAUGCCAAUCCCAAAAACCUCUCUCAGUUCGGACUGGAGUCUGCAACCCGACUCCACGAAGCUGGAUUCGCUAGUAAUCGCGCAUCAGCCACGGCGCGGUGAAUACGUUCCCGGGCCUUGUACACACCGCCCGUCAAGCCAUGGGAGCCGGGGGUACCUGAAGUGCGUAACCGCGAGGAGCGCCCUAGGGUAAAACUGGUGACUGGGGCUA